rnacentral:rRNA from 1 species
UACGAAGGGGGCUAGCGUUGCUCGGAAUCACUGGGCGUAAAGGGUGCGUAGGCGGGUCUUUAAGUCAGGGGUGAAAUCCUGGAGCUCAACUCCAGAACUGCCUUUGAUACUGAAGAUCUUGAGUUCGGGAGAGGUGAGUGGAACUGCGAGUGUAGUGGUGAAAUGCGUAGAUAUCGGGAGGAACACCAGUGGCGAAGGCGACUACCUGGCCUGUUCUUGACGCUGAGGCGCGAAAGCUAGGGGAGCAAACGGG